AAAUCUAUUUUGCACAUAUGUAGCAAUAUCCAUAGUAGUUCAAUAUAAAUUUACAACCGAACAAAAGCAUCUCAUUUUUCUUGUUUUGCCAUAUCCACUUUCCUUUAUACAUAAAUACACUUUAUACAGAAAAUGUCCUUUGGGUAGAAUGAAGUAUGCCAAUUGAAAAUGUUAUAUGUUGUUCAAGGAAUUAUUCCCAAUUUAAUACCUUUCAGUUAAUUUAUUCGUAUCUAUGUGUCCUAUGGAUUCAGUGUCCCAAAGAUAAUUCUAGUGUACAUUGACCACUCCAACUUUGCAAGUUAGAGGCUGAGAGAAAACAGAGGCUCUUGCUGUAGAUAAUAUAAUGUGCUGAAAUUCCAGAGAUGCACAUAAUUUCUACCAAAACAGUAUACUAAGCACUUUUUCAAAUGCACUCUUACUUACUGGGUGCUCCCGUUGCUUCUGCACAGCUCCAGGGCCUGUUGGUACCCAUGGAUCUUGCAGGUGGAAAACCAAGCCGCAGUUACAGGGUGGGCAAUACAUCUGAGGAGAACAAAACUGUGGGGUCACUACCAGUGGGAGAGACUGAGGAGUUGCAGUGACAUUGCUUUAUACAAAAGGUUUGGUUUCAAUCUUAAGGUUCCACUUAAUCUGGCAUAAUUAUAACUCAAAAUAGUAAACAUGUCAAUAGACUCAGGACCAAUACAAACGAGGCUCACAGGUCAAGUUUUACCUAAGGUGAAACUAUAAUCAUUUCCCCAUUUUGAAGAAAUUAGACACACUUGAAAAGUAUAUAGAGUUAACUUUAUGUUUUUGAGUUAUCUUUAUUGAGGGCCCUCAAUGAAGAAAAUCUAUUCAUUGAGUCAUAAAAUAGGUUUUCUUAAAUUGUAGCCAGGGAAAACUAAAAUCCAGAAAGGAAAUUAGGAAUUAGGACAAAUAAUAUUCAUUAUUUAAGGCUAUUAGAGAACCCAUGGGAUAGAAUGCUUCAGUGCUCAAGAAGGCAUGUUAUUUUUUCAAAAGAGGCAGUAUUUGAUUUAGUUUUCUACUGUUAAUUGUGUCAGCAACUGCAUGAAAUACCAAUGAAAUCUAUUUCCAGGUGCUUGUGGGUCUAAGGAGCACUAAGACUUGUGCUACUGGUAACAUGCUCUAUAAAGCAUAUGCUUUCUAUGAGUGUUAGGGUUGAAAGGCCUUGGUGGUGCCUAAGCACUGUCUAUCCGUUGAUGGUGUAGUCAGUAAUGAAAAGCAUGGGUUGUUGUAGGUCACCUGUAGCAGAGCUUGAACAUGUCUUUAAUUGGGACAAUGAGAAAUGCUGUACAUGGGAAUAAAUGUAUGCGUGAAAAUUAGAUCAACAUACCUGUUUUAAUUGCUUUUCUAGUUUUUCUUUCUCCAUCUGACAAGCUUUUAUCUAAAGACAAAACAAAGGCAUUUGUUAAUCAAGACAAGUUAAAAUCAUUAAUUCCCAAGCCACUCUUGACCUACUCAAGUGUCAGGCAUUGACAGCAGUAAUACCAACAAAAAUAGCCACAAGUUGGUUUUUGCAGACAUGCAUUGAUUCUUAAAAUUUCCAGUUGCAGUUUGAAAAAUGUGAUAGUUUUAAAUUGCUAUUCCAGUUUUUUGAGGCCAUUACAAUUCUGUUUUAGGUAGAUCUAUUUAGAUACAGAUAUAGAAACAAUUUCCAUUGC
rnacentral:lncRNA from 1 species